rnacentral:piRNA from 1 species
UAGAAGCUUCGGCUAGGGAUGG